CGAGGAAUUUUCCGCAAUGGGCGAAAGCCUGACGGAGCAACGCCGCGUGGGGGAAGAAGGCCUUCGGGUUGUAAACCCCUGUUGCGAGGGAAGAAGAUCUGACGGUACCUCGCGAGGAAGCCACGGCUAACUACGUGCCAGCAGCCGCGGUAAUACGUAGGUGGCAAGCGUUGUCCGGAUUUACUGGGCGUAAAGCGCGCGCAGGCGGACUGGUCAGUCCGGGGUGAAAUCUCACGGCUCAACCGUGAGGGGUCCCUGGAUACUGCCAGCCUUGAGGGGCUCAGAGGAGAGUGGAAUUCCGGGUGUAGUGGUGGAAUGCGUAGAUAUCCGGAGGAACACCAGUGGCGAAAGCGGCUCUCUGGGGGCAACCUGACGCUGAGGCGCGAAAGCGUGGGGAGCGAACCGGAUUAGAUACCCACGUAGUCCCUGAGCGGGCUGGCAAGGCGCAU
rnacentral:rRNA from 1 species